rnacentral:sRNA from 1 species
ACCAAGAAGGGGCUGAGCAGCAUCCUGGAUGCCGCCCGCUGGAACCGGGGAGAGCCCCAGGGUAAGGCAGCUCUGGCCUCUGCCCUCCCCUGUCUUCCCCAGCUGUUCCCACUCACUGUCUCAUUCUCUCUCAUUUCAAUUCCAGAUUUUCGACACCUCAAAGCAGAGGUUGAUGCUGAGAAGCCAGGUGCUACAGACCGGAAGGGAGGCCUGGGGAUGCCCUCUCGGGACCGGAAUGUCGGGGCUCCUGGGCAGGACAGCCCUGGAGUCUCUCUGCACCCUCUGUCCCUGGACAGCACAGACCGGGAACCAGGUGCCGACGCCCCCCUGGAGCUGGGGGACUCAUCCCCGCAGGGUCCAAUGAGCCUGGAGUCCCUGGCGCCCCCAGAGAGUACCGAUGAGGGGGCCGAAACCGAGAGGUGCCCAGGCUGGGGUGCAGGGGCGGGGGGCGUGGCUUACUGGGCGCUGGUGGGUGGGUGCAGGGUCGCCGCUGCCAUCUGCGCCUGCCUGUCCCAGGCUCUCGCUCCCCCUGCUCCUUUGCUGCUCUCUGGGUCUCGCCAUUCCUCUCCCUUCUUCUUUCCUUUUCUCAUCUCCCUCCUGCUUCCUCAUUGCCCCCCUUUCCUUUUAUCCUUCCUUUUUCCUCUGCUCCUUCCUCUCUUUCCUUUUUUCACUAAUCUUUCUCCUCCUCCCUUCCUCUCCACCACUCCUUCCAUCUCCUUUAUUUCCCCUCCUCUCUCACCUCCCCCCUCCUCUCUCACCUCCCC